rnacentral:tRNA from 1 species
CAAAGAAUAGUUUAUUAGAAUAUUAAUUUUGGAGAUUAAAGGUAUAAUUUUAAUUAUUUUUUUGA